rnacentral:rRNA from 1 species
GGAAUAUUGGACAAUGGGGGCAACCCUGAUCCAGCAAUGCCGCGUGUGUGAAGAAGGCCUGCGGGUUGUAAAGCACUUUCAGUUGGGAGGAAGGCUACGUAGUUAAUAGCUGCGUAGAUUGACGUUACCGACAGAAGAAGCACCGGCUAACUCUGUUCCAGCAGCCGCGGUAAUACAGAGGGUGCGAGCGUUAAUCGGAAUUACUGGGCGUAAAGGGUGCGUAGGUGGCCAUUUAAGUCAGAUGUGAAAGCCCCGGGCUUAACCUGGGAACUGCAUUUGAAACUGGAAGGCUAGAGUUUGGAAGAGGGAAGUGGAAUUUCCGGUGUAGCGGUGAAAUGCGUAGAUAUCGGAAGGAACACCAGUGGCGAAGGCGACUUCCUGGUCCGACACUGACACUGAGGCACGAAAGCGUGGGGAGCAAAC